AAUAAGUUACCAACAAUGCGCAGUUACAACGAACGUGAAAACGGAAAAGCGAUACUUGCUCCUCUUAAAAGUGCUUAUCUAACGUGUUUUUCAAUCUCUUCCUCGACCAAAUCCAAUCAGUGGCAGAGCAUGGUGAUUAAUGGAACAAGCGAAUGAGAAUGAAAUUAAGAGAAACGAAAGAUACAUGAAGAUGAUGCCGACGCAGAUUCAUGAUGGAAUUCGAUAACUCCACUACCUGGUGCUUGGCCCCAGAAGCCUGGUUCUGCUACUUGCCCUUUCUUUGGAGUCGAGCCUGUCAUAGUGGAUGAGAAAGGUGUUGCGAUAGAAGGAGAGUCUAGUGGUUACUUGUGUGUUAAGAGAUCAUGGCCAGGGGCAUUCAGAACUUUGUAUGGCGAUCAUGAACGAUAUGAAACAACAUAUUUCAAGCCCUUUGCUGGCUACUAUUUCAAUGGUGAUGGCUGCAGCAGGGAUAAAGAUGGAUACUAUUGGCUUACUGGGAGAGUUGAUGAUGUCAUUAAUGUCAGUGGCCAUCGUAUUGGGACAGCUGAAGUAGAAUCAGCUCUAGUUUCACAUCCAAAAUGUGCUGAAGCAGCCGUUGUAGGCGUGGAGCACGAGGUGAUAAAUUUAUGAUCAAGAGGAGAUACAUGUAUCUAACUGAAGAGAUUUUGAAAGAGAAUCCUAGUCUUUAUGAAUUCAUUAUCUGCAGCAGGAUUCCAGUUCAUCUGUUCCGAUUUCUGUGAAUCCAAACAUGAAUGUUCAUGUUCGAUUCUUUAGAAGCCACGAGUAUCCGCGACAUCAGCAACAGCAGCAGCAGUAUGGUUCUCUUCUAGCACUUCCUGUGUUCGAAAGAGGAAGUGGAACAUGUCUAGGUGUCAUUGAGUUUGUUAUCGCCAAUCAAAACCUCAUCAAUUAUCGUCCACAACUCGAUCAUCUCUCCAAUGCUCUCGAGGUUGAGGAGCAAAAUCUACAAGAUCAAAUACAAAUGGUUGAAGAGGAUAAAGAUAUAGAAAUGUUGCCAAAACAAAAAUCAAAGAAGAAGAAAACUUAUAUAUGAAGAAACUUAAUGGUUCGAUGAUUUUGGACCAAAGCAUUUCCAUUUCAUGCUGGGAAGCUUAUACAGAUGACAAUAGUUGGAACAGGCAUAACGUUGAAGACAGUAUUACAUGCUCUCAAGUAUGCCUUAAAACCCUUCCUUAGAAAGCUCUCUUACUUUUAGUUUGACCAAAGUGAGAACUUAAGUUUUUAUUUUGUUACAUUUUUAAAAAUAUUCAUAAACCAUGCUAUCAACUUGAGUCACUAGUUGAUACUCUGUCAAAUACACACGAGAAAUUAUAUUAGAUGAACAUAAAUUUCAACCAUUGUUUUCUUCUCAAUUAUCUCAAUCCCUUUCCCAAAUGUAACUUGGAGUCUGUUUGAAUUGACUUGUUUGAACUAAUCUACUAGCAUAAGUGUUAUCAAACAGCGGCACCAUGGUCGCUAUGGCGGGUGGUUUUUGAGCUCACUACGAUGGUAAAUAUUGCAGGUUUUUCCGCUAUAAUUUGCUAUAAUGGUGCCGCAAAGCGGCCGAUAUAUAAUUGCAGGUUUUUCCGCUAUAAUCUACUAUAAUGAUAAAAAAAGACACAUAAUUGCAUUACUUAACCUUAGGACAGAAGCUGAAAACAUGCAGCCCGUGUCCGUCGAUUAAUUCUUUCCAUGAGUUCCGAUUCAACUAGAAACUAUAAUUUGAGUUUGAAGAUAAGAUUAUACCCGAGAAAGUAGUUUCAAUUCAUUACUUACUCGGUGAGUCAUUCUUUUCUGUUAAUUUUUCUGUCUUGAGUUCUAUAUACAACUUACUAAUAUAUAUCUAAGUAAUUAGUCGAUAAAAAAAUCAAAGUAAUUACUAUAGUUGAAAUAUUUAAUAUGUUAGUGAAAACGGUCUUACAUGAUUGUUCUUGGUUUUUUUUUACAGUUAUGUUUGAUUGAUGUGCAUGUAAAUCUGAAAGAUUUGAUCAUAUAGACUCUUAAAGAGGCUUUUGAGGUCUUUUGCAACAAAGGUGUUGCUGGAAACUCUAGUCCAGAACUUCUUGCCACUUUUUGUGAUAACAUUCUCAACAAAGGAUGCUUUCAUUAUUUUAUGGACUUUGGCAGUACAUGUUCAACAAGUUAAAGCUUCAUGUACUCAUUUUAGGGAUUGACAAGGCUGGCAAAACGACUUUGCUUGAGAAGAUGAAGUCGGUGUACACGAAUGUAGAAGGUCUUCCUCCGGAUCGAAUUGUGGAAAGCAAUUGCUUCUCCAGGGCGUGGUAUUUUGGCCAUGGAUGAAUCCAAUGCUACAUGUGGAAAGCGGUUGAAUUCAAUUGGACUAGAGAACACCGAAGCUAACCGUCAAGCAUGGCGUAAAAUUAUAUAUGAAGAAAGUGUUAUGACUUGGUUAAAAUAUAAUUUUUAUGUGUAUGAUUUUAUAGUACUUGAAAUAUUAUGAAUGCACAUGAUAUUGUAUACUUUUUGGUUAAUAUUAAAAAUAUUUUGACUUAGUUAAAA